rnacentral:rRNA from 1 species
AGCCCAGAGUCUGAAUCAGCGCGUGUGUUAGUGGAACGGUCUGGAAAGUCCGGCGGUACAGGGUGAUAGCCCCGUACACUAAAAUGCACACGUUGUGAACUCGAAGAGUAGGGCGGGACACGUGGUAUCCUGUCUGAAUAUGGGGGGACCAUCCUCCAAGGCUAAAUACUCCUGACUGACCGAUAGUGAACCAGUACCGUGAGGGAAAGGCGAAAAGAACCCCGGCGAGGGGAGUGAAAAAGAACCUGAAACCGUGUACGUACAAGCAGUGGGAGCCUAUUUGUCAGGUGACUGCGUACCUUUUGUAUAAUGGGUCAGCGACUUAUAUUCUGUAGCAAGGUUAACCGAAUAGGGGAGCCGCAGGGAAACCGAGUCUUAACUGGGCGUUAAGUUGCAGGGUAUAGACCCGAAACCCGGUGAUCUAGCCAUGGGCAGGUUGAAGGUUGGGUAACACUAACUGGAGGACCGAACCGACUAAUGUUGAAAAAUUAGCGGAUGACUUGUGGCUGGGGGUGAAAGGCCAAUCAAACCGGGAGAUAGCUGGUUCUCCCCGAAAGCUAUUUAGGUAGCGCCUCGUGAAUUCAUCUUCGGGGGUAGAGCACUGUUUCGGCUAGGGGGUCAUCCCGACUUACCAACCCGAUGCAAACUACGAAUACCGAAGAAUGUUAUCACGGGAGACACACGGCGGGUGCUAACGUCCGUCGUGAAGAGGGAAACAACCCAGACCGCCAGCUAAGGUCCCAAAGUCAUGGUUAAGUGGGAAACGAUGUGGGAAGGCACAGACAGCCAGGAUGUUGGCUUAGAAGCAGCCAUCAUUUAAAGAAAGCGUAAUAGCUCACUGGUCGAGUCGGCCUGCGCGGAAGAUGUAACGGGGCUAAACCAUGCACCGAAGCUGCGGCAGCGACACUAUGUGUUGUUGGGUAGGGGAGCGUUCUGUAAGCCGUUGAAGGUGGCCUGUGAGGGUUGCUGGAGGUAUCAGAAGUGCGAAUGCUGACAUAAGUAACGAUAAAGCGGGUGAAAAGCCCGCUCGCCGGAAGACCAAGGGUUCCUGUCCAACGUUAAUCGGGGCAGGGUGAGUCGACCCCUAAGGCGAGGCCGAAAGGCGUAGUCGAUGGGAAACAGGUUAAUAUUCCUGUACUCGGUGUUACUGCGAAGGGGGGACGGAGAAGGCUAUGUUAGCCGGGCGACGGUUGUCCCGGUUUAAGCAUGUAGGCGGGNNNNNNNNNNNNNNNNNNNNNNNNNNNNNNNNNNNNNNNNGUGCGACGAGGCACUACGGUGCUGAAGUAACAAAUGCCCUGCUUCCAGGAAAAGCCUCUAAGCAUCAGGUAACAACGAAUCGUACCCCAAACCGACACAGGUGGUCAGGUAGAGAAUACCAAGGCGCUUGAGAGAACUCGGGUGAAGGAACUAGGCAAAAUGGUGCCGUAACUUCGGGAGAAGGCACGCUGAUGGUAGGUGAAGUGACUUGCUCAUGGAGCUGAAAUCAGUCGAAGAUACCAGCUGGCUGCAACUGUUUAUUAAAAACACAGCACUGUGCAAACACGAAAGUGGACGUAUACGGUGUGACGCCUGCCCGGUGCCGGAAGGUUAAUUGAUGGGGUUAUCCGUAAGGAGAAGCUCUUGAUCGAAGCCCCGGUAAACGGCGGCCGUAACUAUAACGGUCCUAAGGUAGCGAAAUUCCUUGUCGGGUAAGUUCCGACCUGCACGAAUGGCGUAAUGAUGGCCAGGCUGUCUCCACCCGAGACUCAGUGAAAUUGAACUCGCUGUGAAGAUGCAGUGUACCCGCGGCAAGACGGAAAGACCCCGUGAACCUUUACUAUAGCUUGACACUGAACAUUGAGCCUUGAUGUGUAGGAUAGGUGGGAGGCUUUGAAGCGUGGACGCCAGUCUGCGUGGAGCCAACCUUGAAAUACCACCCUUUAAUGUUUGAUGUUCUAACGUAGACCCGUGAUCCGGGUUGCGGACAGUGUCUGGUGGGUAGUUUGACUGGGGCGGUCUCCUCCCAAAGAGUAACGGAGGAGCACGAAGGUUAGCUAAUCCUGGUCGGACAUCAGGAGGUUAGUGCAAUGGCAUAAGCUAGCUUGACUGCGAGCGUGACGGCGCGAGCAGGUGCGAAAGCAGGUCAUAGUGAUCCGGUGGUUCUGAAUGGAAGGGCCAUCGCUCAACGGAUAAAAGGUACUCCGGGGAUAACAGGCUGAUACCGCCCAAGAGUUCAUAUCGACGGCGGUGUUUGGCACCUCGAUGUCGGCUCAUCACAUCCUGGGGCUGAAGUAGGUCCCAAGGGUAUGGCUGUUCGCCAUUUAAAGUGGUACGCGAGCUGGGUUUAGAACGUCGUGAGACAGUUCGGUCCCUAUCUGCCGUGGGCGCUGGAGAAUUGAGGGGGGCUGCUCCUAGUACGAGAGGACCGGAGUGGACGCAUCACUGGUGUUCGGGUUGUCAUGCCAAUGGCAUUGCCCGGUAGCUAAAUGCGGAAAAGAUAAGUGCUGAAAGCAUCUAAGCACGAAACUUGCCCCGAGAUGAGUUCUCCCUGACUCCUUGAGAGUCCUGAAGGAACGUUGAAGACGACGACGUUGAUAGGUCGGGUGUGUAAGCGUAGCGAUACGUUGAGCUAACCGAUACUAAUGAACCGUGAGGCUUAACCUUACAACGCCGAAGCUGUU